GACGAACGCUGGCGGCGUGCUUAACACAUGCAAGUCGAACGGAAAGGCCCUGCUUUUGUGGGGUGCUCGAUUGGCUAACGGGUGAGUAACACGUGUGUAACCUGCCCUUGACUUUGGGAUAACUUCAGGAAACUGGGGCUAAUACCGGAUAGGAGCCCCUGCUGCAUGGUUGGGGUUGGAAAGUUUCGUCGGUUGAGGAUGAACACGCGGCUUAUCAGCUUGUUGGUGGGGUAGUGUCUUACCCAGGCUUCGACGGGUAGACGGCCUGAGAAGGUGAACGGCAACAGAGGCAUUGAGAUACGGACAAGACGCCUACGGGAGGCAGCGGUGGGAAAUAGUAAACAAUGGGCGGAAGCAAGAUGCAGCAACGCCGCGUGAGGAAGGACGGAAUUCGGGUUGUAAGCCGAUUUGGCCUGUAACGAAGCGUCAGUGACGAAAAUGAGGAAAGGAGCACCGGCUAAAUACGU
rnacentral:rRNA from 1 species